GACGAACGCUGGCGGCGUGCUUAACACAUGCAAGUCGAGCGGUAAGGCCCUUUCGGGGGUACACGAGCGGCGAACGGGUGAGUAACACGUGGGUGACCUGCCCUCAGCUCUGGGAUAAGCCUGGGAAACUGGGUCUAAUACUGGAUAUGACUCCACGGUGCAUGUCGUGGGGUGGAAAGCCUUGUGCGGCUGAGGAUGGGCCCGCGGCCUAUCAGCUUGUUGGUGGGGUGAUGGCCUACCAAGGCGACGACGGGUAGCCGGCCUGAGAGGGCGACCGGCCACACUGGGACUGAGACACGGCCCAGACUCCUACGGGAGGCAGCAGUGGGGAAUCUUGCGCAAUGGGCGAAAGCCUGACGCAGCGACGCCGCGUGAGGGAUGACGGCC
rnacentral:rRNA from 1 species